CAUGGGCGAAAACAAAAACGCCGAAACCCUAAUUGGAACCUUAGUAGGCUAGUACCGAGUAUAAGAGGUUCAUCUAUCCACAAACUCUUCUAUAAGAUGCAGCCGCGGCGUCACAACUUCAAUUCCGUUGAACAAAUUCUUAGCCGCUUCUGUCUUCAAAGUUCUCUGAUUGCUUUGAUCUAUGCAUUGCUUUAAAUUUGAAUUAGGUAGUUUUAGUUCAAUUGAUUUUCUCUUUUGGUCCUGUUUUGUUUCGGUCAUAUGGUUUCCAAUCUUCAAGAUUCUUAGGGAUUUUUUUCUUUUAAUUUUCUAAUUUUCGUACCUUAUAUUAACUUUUCUUUUCCAGCUAUAUCUAUUUAAAUUUUAGACGUUGAAACAAAACUAAACAUUGGAUUUACUUGAAAGCAGGCAAAAUGAUGAGGUUUUAAUAUCUGAAUAUUAUGUGGAUUACCAAUUCCCAAUGGUCUUCAAAGUUCUCUGAUUGCUUUGCUGAUCAUAUUGCUAUUGGAAAAUGCCAUUUUCAUUCUAAACAGAAUGGUUUAUUUCAUCAUACUCCUUGAAAGCAAAAGGGAUGGAACGGCAUUAUUUAUAAAUGGUUUUUGUGCUCACUUCUCCAUAGGCAUCGAACAAACUCACUUUUGUAUGGUGUGUGACUGACUCAUCUCAUCUAAUGGUGGAGAAGAAUGAGUUGGCUGGUUGUGCAUGAAUAAAUGAGUAUAUAGACAACACAAAUGUUUUGGAUAAAAUCUUUCAUACAUGUUGGAGGGCAUUGUCGUCUCCUCUAGUAUCUUUGCAGUUUUCUCAAGCAUUGAAAAUAAACCAUUAUGAUUAGAAUGUUACUACUAAGAAUAAAGAAUAGCUAGUGUACCACAAGCACCAAAAUUCUUAGUCUGGCAUGCAAUAAUCUGUCAGACUAUACGAGCAUGGUGCAACAAUAUUCCUUUUGCCUUGUUUCUUCAUGCUUUGUUUGUCUCCUAUAAGAAUGACAUUUGAAGCUGAACUUGGCAGAACAUUUAGUGUUGUAGUUAAGUUCUCCUAAUUUGUGCUGA